GAAACUGCGAAUGGCUCAUUACAACAGUUAUAGUUUCUUUGGUAUUCGUUUUCCAUGGAUAACCGUGCUAAUUGUAGGGCUAAUACAAGUUCGAGGCCUUUUUGGCGGCGUUUAUUAGUUCUCAAACCUUCCCUUUUGGUUUUCGGUGAUUCAUAAUAAACUUGCGAAUCGCUUUUUGCGAUGGUCCAUUCAAGUUUCUGACCCAUCAGCUUGACGGUAGGGUAUUGGCCUACCGAGGCAGCAACGGGUAACGGGGAAUUAGGGUUCGAUUCCGGAGAGGGAGCCUGAGAAACGGCUACCACAUCUAAGGAAGGCAGCAGGCGCGCAAAUUACCCAACCCUGACACAGGGAGGUAGUGACAAGAAAUAACAAUACAGGGCAAUUGUCUUGUAAUUGGAAUGAUGGUGACCUAAACCCUCACCAGAGUAACAAUUGGAGGGCAAGUCUGGUGCCAGCAGCCGCGGUAAUUCCAGCUCCAAUAGCGUAUAUUAAACUUGUUGCAGUUAAAAAGCUCGUAGUUGAAUUUCUGCGUUAUCGUUUUCGUUGCUUUUGCUUCGUUUCGAUUUCGCUUUUGGGGGUUUCCCCUUUUUACUUUGAGAAAAUUAGAGUGUUUCAAGCAGACUUUUGUCUUGAAUACUUCAGCAUGGAAUAAUAGAGUAGGACUUUGGUUCUAUUUUGUUGGUUUAAGAGCCUUAGUAAUGGUUAAUAGGAACGGUUGGGGGCAUUCGUAUUUAACUGUCAGAGGUGAAAUUCUUAGAUUUGUUAAAGACGAACUACUGUGAAAGCAUUUGCCAAGGACGUUUUCAUUAAUCAAGAACGAAAGUUAGGGGAUCGAAGACGAUCAGAUACCGUCGUAGUCCUAACCAUAAACUAUGGCG
rnacentral:rRNA from 1 species